ACGGAAGGCAGCAGUGAGGAAUAUUGGUCAAUGGACGCAAGUCUGAACCAGCCAUGCCGCGUGAAGGAUUAAGGCCCUAUGGGUCGUAAACUUCUUUUGUACGGGAGCAAUAAGUUCCACGUGUGGAGCGAUGAGAGUACCGUACGAAUAAGCAUCGGCUAACUCCGUGCCAGCAGCCGCGGUAAUACGGAGGAUGCAAGCGUUAUCCGGAUUCAUUGGGUUUAAAGGGUGCGUAGGCGGGAUGUUAAGUCAGCGGUGAAAGUUUGCGGCUCAACCGUAAAAUUGCCGUUGAAACUGGCGUUCUUGAGUGUAAACGAGGUAGGCGGAAUGUGACGUGUAGCGGUGAAAUGCUUAGAUAUGUCACAGAACCCCGAUUGCGAAGGCAGCUUACCAGCAUACAACUGACGCUGAGGCACGAAAGCGUGGGUAUCAAACAGGAUUAGAUACCCUGGUA
rnacentral:rRNA from 1 species